rnacentral:rRNA from 1 species
UAGGGAAUAUUAGAAAUGGACGAAAGUCUGAUCUAGCAACACCGCGUGUGCGAAGAAGGCCUUCGGGUUGUAAAGCACUUUUUGAGAGGAUGAGGAAGGACGGUACUCUCAGAAUAAGUCUCGGCUAACUACGUGCCAGCAGCCGCGGUAAAACGUAGGAGGCGAGCGUUAUCCGGAUUUACUGGGCGUAAAGCGUGUGUAGGCGGUUUGAUAAGUUGGAUGUGAAAGCUCCUGGCUUAACUGGGAGAGGUCGUUCAAAACUAUCAGACUUGAGAGUGGUAGAGGGAGGUGGAAUUCCGCAUGUAGUGGUGAAAUGCGUAGAUAUGCGGAGGAACACCAGUGGCGAAAGCGGCCUCCUGGCCCAUUUCUGACGCUCAGACACGAAAGCUAAGGUAGCAAACG